UACGUAGGGUGCGAGCGUUAAUCGGAAUACUGGGCGUAAAGCGUGACGCAGGCGGUUAUGUAAGACAGUUGUGAAAUCCCCGGGCUCAACCUGGGAACUGCAUCUGUGACUGCAUAGCUAGAGUACGGUAGAGGGGGAUGGAAUUCCGCGUGUAGCAGUGAAAUGCGUAGAUAUGCGGAGGAACACCGAUGGCGAAGGCAAUCCCCUGGACCUGUACUGACGCUCAUGCACGAAAGCGUGGGGAGCAAACAGG
rnacentral:rRNA from 1 species